AUGGUAGGCGCGGUCGGUGCCGGGCUGUUGGUGGUGCCGACGAUGUUUACACUGGUGCUGAGUCAAUCGGGGCCGGUCAUGACAAGAGUUGAUUCCAUAAGUCCUCAGCAGACAGUAGAGUCUGGUACAGAAGGAGAGUCAGUAAUGCUCAGCUGCUCUUAUACUGCAAGUAGCAACAACGUUGUUCUCUACUGGUAUCAGCAGAACUCAAACCGAGCCCAGGAAUACAUAUUGCUUAAAGGAGCUGAGGGACCCUUCAAACACUGUAGUAAACGAGCCCGGUUUUCAGCUACAUUGGAUAAGGAAUCCAGCAGUGUGCCUUUAACAAUAUCAGCAGCCCUGGUGAGCGACUCUGCAGUUUACUACUGUGCGCUGAGACCCGCGCUGUGA